rnacentral:lncRNA from 1 species
GCACUUCAGAAACCAAGUGUGCCAUCAACUACCUGAUUGGAGAAGUGGUUGCCUCUAAAGUGGAGAAUGGGAAAAUCGAAAGCCUCCUUCAGCAGAACAAAGCCACCUGCGCCGACCUCCACAAGAUGCUUCAGGAAGAGCGGAAGGAGGCUGCCAACUCGGAGGCUGACCUGGAGAGGCGGCUGGUGCAGGUUGAGCAGGAGUAUCAAGAGAAGAUCCUCUACCUGCUCGACAAAGUCCAGCAACAGGAGAAAGAAGGCAAAAGUCUGGAAAGGACCCUGACUUCCAAAAGGGAGGAGGAGGAGCUUCUGGAACACCUCCGUUUCCAGGAUGAAGAGAUUGGAAAGAUGAAAGAGGGGUUGGAAAAACAUGAAAUCUGCCCAACGCCAGAAGCCCUGAAGCAGGAGGAGUUCAAGGUUCUCCAGGCUACUAACGGACAGAAGGCCUGCAAACGUUCCAGCUCUGGAGAAGUUUUUGACUCCCCUUUGGAACACAUCCCUCCCAAGCCAAAGCUUCACCGCAGCGUUCUCAGGCCCACAGAGUUCUC